rnacentral:rRNA from 1 species
UACGGAGGGUGCAAGCGUUAUCCGGAUUCACUGGGUUUAAAGGGUGCGUAGGUGGGUUGGUAAGUCAGUGGUGAAAUCUCCGAGCUUAACUUGGAAACUGCCAUUGAUACUAUCAGUCUUGAAUACCGUGGAGGUCAGCGGAAUAUGUCAUGUAGCGGUGAAAUGCUUAGAUAUGACAUAGAACACCAAUUGCGAAGGCAGCUGACUACGCGAAUAUUGACACUGAUGCACGAAAGCGUGGGGAUCAAACAGA